AUUCUUUUCAGUUCAUAAGCCUGAUAAUUAGGUAUUCACACUGUGGAGAUGUGCCUCCCUCUAAAGCUCGUCAUGAUGUCAGCACAUUACCUAUCUGACG
rfam:Ictidomys tridecemlineatus contig000342, whole genome shotgun sequence.